rnacentral:rRNA from 1 species
AAAUUGAAGAGUUUGAUCAUGGCUCAGAUUGAACGCUGGCGGCAGGCCUAACACAUGCAAGUCGAACGGUAGCACAGAGAGCUUGCUCUCGGGUGACGAGUGGCGGACGGGUGAGUAAUGUCUGGGAAACUGCCCGAUGGAGGGGGAUAACUACUGGAAACGGUAGCUAAUACCGCAUAACGUCGCAAGACCAAAGUGGGGGACCUUCGGGCCUCACACCAUCGGAUGUGCCCAGAUGGGAUUAGCUAGUAGGUGGGGUAACGGCUCACCUAGGCGACGAUCCCUAGCUGGUCUGAGAGGAUGACCAGCCACACUGGAACUGAGACACGGUCCAGACUCCUACGGGAGGCAGCAGUGGGGAAUAUUGCACAAUGGGCGCAAGCCUGAUGCAGCCAUGCCGCGUGUAUGAAGAAGGCCUUCGGGUUGUAAAGUACUUUCAGCGAGGAGGAAGGCGUUGUGGUUAAUAACCACAGCGAUUGACGUUACUCGCAGAAGAAGCACCGGCUAACUCCGUGCCAGCAGCCGCGGUAAUACGGAGGGUGCAAGCGUUAAUCGGAAUUACUGGGCGUAAAGCGCACGCAGGCGGUUUGUUAAGUCAGAUGUGAAAUCCCCGGGCUCAACCUGGGAACUGCAUUUGAAACUGGCAAGCUUGAGUCUCGUAGAGGGGGGUAGAAUUCCAGGUGUAGCGGUGAAAUGCGUAGAGAUCUGGAGGAAUACCGGUGGCGAAGGCGGCCCCCUGGACAAAGACUGACGCUCAGGUGCGAAAGCGUGGGGAGCAAACAGGAUUAGAUACCCUGGUAGUCCACGCCGUAAACGAUGUCUACUUGGAGGUUGUGCCCUUGAGGCGUGGCUUCCGGAGCUAACGCGUUAAGUAGACCGCCUGGGGAGUACGGCCGCAAGGUUAAAACUCAAAUGAAUUGACGGGGGCCCGCACAAGCGGUGGAGCAUGUGGUUUAAUUCGAUGCAACGCGAAGAACCUUACCUGGUCUUGACAUCCACGGAAGUUUUCAGAGAUGAGAAUGUGCCUUCGGGAACCGUGAGACAGGUGCUGCAUGGCUGUCGUCAGCUCGUGUUGUGAAAUGUUGGGUUAAGUCCCGCAACGAGCGCAACCCUUAUCCUUUGUUGCCAGCGGUUAGGCCGGGAACUCAAAGGAGACUGCCAGUGAUAAACUGGAGGAAGGUGGGGAUGACGUCAAGUCAUCAUGGCCCUUACGACCAGGGCUACACACGUGCUACAAUGGCGCAUACAAAGAGAAGCGACCUCGCGAGAGCAAGCGGACCUCAUAAAGUACGUCGUAGUCCGGAUUGGAGUCUGCAACUCGACUCCAUGAAGUCGGAAUCGCUAGUAAUCGUGGAUCAGAAUGCCACGGUGAAUACGUUCCCGGGCCUUGUACACACCGCCCGUCACACCAUGGGAGUGGGUUGCAAAAGAAGUAGGUAGCUUAACCUUCGGGAGGGCGCUUACCACUUUGUGAUUCAUGACUGGGGUGAAGUCGUAACAAGGUAACCGUAGGGGAACCUGCGGUUGGAUCACCUCCUUACCUUAAAGAAGC